CAUCCCACAAAAAUUCCUUCCCACCAAACUAUCUUCCUACCAAACCUUACCACCAAAAUACCACAAGACUGAAUUUCCUAAGUACUGAACUACCAACCGAUCUACAGAACGAUCUACUUAACUACCCAUAAAACUACCUUUCCACCAAACUACCAACUGCCUAACCAAGAAGCUACCUUCCUAUUGAAAGACAUACUCCAACUACAUUCCAAAGUACCUCCAACCUACCUAGAACUACCUACUAAACUACCUCCUGAACUACCAACCUAUCUUCUGACUGAAAUACCUACCUCCCGAGCUACGGAUCGUUAACAUGCCCAGCCCUAAAUAUUAUAUUUACUGACGUUCCUUUCUGUGUGAGAGACAUGACAGUCUAACGUCGUCUUCGUGCCUCGUCCCUGCUUCAGGUAUCGGAGCGCUAUGAAAGCAGUAACCUGUUGACAGCGUUGCCCUCGUCCUUCUUGGAGCCUCUGCUGUCCUUCACUCUGAUGGAGGAUCCAGAAAUCCGUCUGCUGGUCCUCUCCAUCCUCACCUCGCUCAUCGACAGACGCCACAACAGCAGCAGACUCACCGCUGCCAGCGAGAUGUUUGAUGUGUCAGUGUUGGAGCUGAAGGAGGACCGAUGCUCUCGACAGGACAAUUUGUUCAUCAGGAAGCACGCUCAGCGUCU